rnacentral:tRNA from 1 species
GGGCGUUUGGCGCAGUCGGUAGCGCGUGGGUCUCAUAAUCCCGAGGUCGCGAGUUCGAUCCUCGCAGUGCCCA